rnacentral:rRNA from 1 species
AUACGGAGGACGCGAGCGUUAUCCGGAUUCAUUGGGUUUAAAGGGUGCGCAGGCGGCCGUGCAAGUCAGCGGUGAAAGCCCGGGGCUCAACCCCGGAAGUGCCGUUGAUACUGCAUGGCUGGAAUGCGGUCGAGGCGGGCGGAACGUGGCGUGUAGCGGUGGAAGGCGUAGAAAUGCCACAGAACGCCGAUGGCGGAGGCAGCCCGCCAGGCCUGCAUUGACGCUCGGGCACGAAAGCGUGGGGAUCGAACAGGAUUAGAUACCCUGGUAGUCCACGCCGUAAACGAUGAUUACUCGCUGUUUGCGAUACACAGCAAGCGGCUUAGCGAAAGCGUUAAGUAAUCCACCUGGGGAGUACGUUCGCAAGAAUGAAACUCAAAGGAAUUGACGGGG